rnacentral:rRNA from 1 species
GACGAACGCUGGCGGCGUGCUUAACACAUGCAAGUCGAACGGUAAGGCCCUUCGGGGUACACGAGUGGCGAACGGGUGAGUAACACGUGGGUGAUCUGCCCUGCACUUCGGGAUUAGCCUGGGAAACUGGGUCUAAUACCGGAUAGGACUCCGGACUGCAUGGUCUGGGGUGGAAAGCUUUUGCGGUGUGGGAUGGGCCCGCGGCUUAUCAGCUUGUUGGUGGGGUGAUGGCCUACCAAGGCGACAACGGGUAGCCGGCCUGAGAGGGUGACCGGCCACACUGGGACUGAGAUACGGCCCAGACUCCUACGGGAGGCAGCAGUGGGGAAUAUUGCACAAUGGGCGCAAGCCUGAUGCAGCGACGCCGCGUGAGGGAUGACGGCCUUCGGGUUGUAAACCUCUUUCAGCAUCGACGAAGCGAAAGUGACGGUAGGUGCAGAAGAAGGACCGGCCAACUACGUGCCAGCCGCCGCCGUAA